UACGUAGGGUGCGAGCGUUGCCCGGAUUUAUUGGGCGUAAAGGGCGCGUAGGCGGCCACGCACGUCCGUUGUGAAAUCGCCCGGCUCAACUGGGCGGGGUCAGCGGAUACGGUGUGGCUCGAGCAAGCUAGGGGGCAAUGGAAUUCCCGGUGUAGUGGUGGAAUGCGUAGAUAUCGGGAGGAACACCAGUGGCGAAGGCGGUUGCCUGGAGCUUUGCUGACGCUGAGGAGCGAAAGCGUGGGGAGCGAACAGG
rnacentral:rRNA from 1 species